rnacentral:rRNA from 1 species
CUUGCUUUUCCGCCCGCGACCGGCGCACGGGUGCGGAACGCGUAUGGAACCUGCCCCUGUCAAGGGAAUAGCCCAGGGAAACUUGGAUUAAUGCCCCAUGGUACCGUUAUAUCGCAUGAUAUUACGGUUAAAGAUUUAUCGGACAGGGAUGGCCAUGCGUACCAUUAGUUAGUUGGUGAGGUAACGGCUCACCAAGGCAGCGAUGGUUAGGGGCCCUGAGAGGGGGAUCCCCCACACUGGUACUGAGACACGGACCAGACUCCUACGGGAGGCAGCAGUGAGGAAUAUUGGACAAUGGGCGGGAGCCUGAUCCAGCCAUGCCGCGUGCAGGAUGACGGCCCUAUGGGUUGUAAACUGCUUUUAUACGGGAAGAAACGCGCCCACGUGUGGGCGUUUGACGGUACCGUAAGAAUAAGGACCGGCUAACUCCGUGCCAGCAGCCGCGGUAAUACGGAGGGUCCGAGCGUUAUCCGGAAUCAUUGGGUUUAAAGGGUCCGUAGGCGGGCCUGUAAGUCAGGGGUGAAAGUUUGUGGCUCAACCAUAAAAUUGCCUUUGAUACUGCAGGUCUUGAGUCAUGGUGGGGUUGCCGGAACAUGUGGUGUAGCGGUGAAAUGCAUAGAUAUCACAUAGAACACCGAUCGCGAAGGCAGGUGACCAACCAUGUACUGACGCUGAUGGACGAAAGCGUGGGUAGCGAACGGGAUUAGAUACCCCGGUAGUCCACGCCGUAAACGAUGGAUACUAGCUGUGGGGACUUCGGUCUCCGUGGCCAAGCGAAAGUGAUAAGUAUCCCACCUGGGGAGUACGUUCGCAAGAAUGAAACUCAAAGGAAUUGACGGGGGCCCGCACAAGCGGUGGAGCAUGUGGUUUAAUUCGAUGAUACGCGAGGAACCUUACCAGGGCUUAAAUGCAGGCUGCAUGGGGUAGAGAUACCCCUUUCUUCGGACCGCCUGCAAGGUGCUGCAUGGUUGUCGUCAGCUCGUGCCGUGAGGUGUCAGGUUAAGUCCUAUAACGAGCGCAACCCCUACCGUUAGUUGCCAGCAUGUCAAGAUGGGGACUCUAACGGGACUGCCGGUGCAAACCGUGAGGAAGGUGGGGACGACGUCAAAUCAUCACGGCCCUUACGUCCUGGGCUACACACGUGCUACAAUGGCCGGUACAGAGGGAAGCCACCCCGCAAGGGGGCGCGGAUCUACAAAACCGGUCACAGUUCGGAUCGGGGUCUGCAACUCGACCCCGUGAAGCUGGAAUCGCUAGUAAUNGGAUAUCAGCCAUG